ACUUCACUAGAACAAUCAACAGGUCCAACUGCUGUUGUGGUCAUCACAGUUUUGGUCAUUAUGGUCCUUCUUCUGUUUGAAAGAGGAGAUUCAAUUCGGCGAUGGCGUGACGACGAUUGGAUAGAUUGUCUACAGUGGCACUGCAACCCGGUGUUUCGUCCAUGGAGUUGUGGAAUAGUCUCUAAGUGAUGAUUUAAUCUGACACAUCAACUCAGCCCUAUCCUACCAUUCAAUGCUUUCAAUUAUGGAGGAUGGAAUAUUUUUGGAAUGAUGCGUUAAAGUAAAUAACACUUAUUCUAGGUUUAUAUGGUUAACUUGGUAAUAAAGCGGGUUUUUUUCAAAAU